rnacentral:rRNA from 1 species
UUCAAUGAAGCUUCGGUAGAUUUGAUUUAAUCCUAGUGGCGGACGGGUGAGUAACGCGUGGGUAACCUGCCUUAUACAGGGGGAUAACAGUCAGAAAUGGCUGCUAAUACCGCAUAAGCGCACAGGGCCGCAUGGCCCGGUGUGAAAAACUGAGGUGGUAUAAGAUGGACCCGCGUUGGAUUAGCCAGUUGGCAGGGUAACGGCCUACCAAAGCGACGAUCCAUAGCCGGCCUGAGAGGGUGAACGGCCACAUUGGGACUGAGACACGGCCCAGACUCCUACGGGAGGCAGCAGUGGGGAAUAUUGCACAAUGGGGGAAACCCUGAUGCAGCGACGCCGCGUGAAGGAAGAAGUAUCUCGGUAUGUAAACUUCUAUCAGCAGGGAAGAAAAUGACGGUACCUGACUAAGAAGCCCCGGCUAACUACGUGCCAGCAGCCGCGGUAAUACGUAGGGGGCAAGCGUUAUCCGGAUUUACUGGGUGUAAAGGGAGCGUAGACGGCAUAACAAGUCUGAUGUGAAAGGCUGGGGCUUAACCCCGGGACUGCAUUGGAAACUGUUAAGCUUGAGUGCCGGAGGGGUAAGCGGAAUUCCUAGUGUAGCGGUGAAAUGCGUAGAUAUUAGGAGGAACACCAGUGGCGAAGGCGGCUUACUGG